GCAAGUCGAACGAAGCCUUCGGGCUUAGUGGCGGACGGGUGAGUAACACGUGGGAACAUGCCCUUGGGUGCGGAACAACAGUUGGAAACGACUGCUAAUACCGCAUGAUGUCUUCGGACCAAAGAUUUAUCGCCCAAGGAUUGGCCCGCGUUGGAUUAGAUAGUUGGUGGGGUAACGGCCUACCAAGUCUACGAUCCAUAGCUGGUCUUAGAGGAUGAUC
rnacentral:rRNA from 1 species